CUCACUUAGGCUGAAUAACACUAAAGUUGGAACAAUACAGAGAAGAUUAGCAUGAUCACCAUACAAGGAUGACACAAAUUUUUUAAGCGUCAGUAUAUAUGUAU